GGUCAAGUACCACAUCCGUCAGAUAGAUAUUUCGGUAUCUAGUUCUGAGAUGUGAUCCUAUUAAACUCGAUGAGAACAAUAAGGAUUUGAUUACUUACAUAGAUGCCAUGUUACGUGAGGUUUGACUCUGAAUAAUGGCUUGGAGCCAUAGGUCCGAAAUGGAGUCCAUGAAGGUCAACGAUGUAUGGACACUCGUUGAUCCACUCGAAGAGAUAAUAUCCAUAGAGUGUAAGUGGAUAUCCAAUAAGAUC
rnacentral:lncRNA from 1 species